GCCCCUGUAGCUUAGUGGUAAAGCACCGCUCUCAUAAGGCGGGGAUCGUGGGUUCGAAUCCCACCAGGGGCA
rnacentral:tRNA from 1 species